rnacentral:rRNA from 1 species
CCUACGGGAGGCAGCAGUGGGGAAUAUUGCACAAUGGGCGAAAGCCUGAUGCAGCGACGCCGCGUGAGGGAUGACGGCCUUCGGGUUGUAAACCUCUUUCAGCAGGGAAGAAGCGAGAGUGACGGUACCUGCAGAAGAAGCGCCGGCUAACUACGUGCCAGCAGCCGCGGUAAUACGUAGGGCGCAAGCGUUGUCCGGAAUUAUUGGGCGUAAAGAGCUCGUAGGCGGCUUGUUGCGUCGGUUGUGAAAGCCCGGGGCUUAACCCCGGGUCUGCAGUCGAUACGGGCAGGCUAGAGUGUGGUAGGGGAGAUCGGAAUUCCUGGUGUAGCGGUGAAAUGCGCAGAUAUCAGGAGGAACACCGGUGGCGAAGGCGGAUCUCUGGGCCAUUACUGACGCUGAGGAGCGAAAGCGUGGGGAGCGAACAGGAUUAGAUACCCUGGUAGUCCACGCCGUAAACGUUGGGAACUAGGUGUUGGCGACAUUCCACGUCGUCGGUGCCGCAGCUAACGCAUUAAGUUCCCGCCUGGGGAGUACGGCCGCAAGGCUAAAACUUAAAUGAAUUGACGG